GGCGUGGUAGCCAAGCGGCAAGGCAGCGGUCUGCAAAACCGCUAUUCAUCGGUUCGAAUCCGAUCCACGCCUCCA
rnacentral:tRNA from 1 species